rnacentral:rRNA from 1 species
CCUACGGGAGGCAGCAGUGGGGAAUAUUGCGCAAUGGGCGAAAGCCUGACGCAGCGACGCCGCGUGAGGGAUGAAGGUCUUCGGAUCGUAAACCUCUGUCAGCAGGGAAGAACGGUCACUGUGCUAAUCAGCAGUGACUUGACGGUACCUGCAAAGGAAGCACCGGCUAACUCCGUGCCAGCAGCCGCGGUAAUCCGGAGGGUGCGAGCGUUAACCGGAAUUACUGGGCGUAAAGCGCUCGUAGGCGGUAUGUCAAUUCAAGGGUGAAAUCCCCGGGCUCAACGUGGGAACUGCCUUGGAAACUGGCAAACUGGAGUGUGUGAGAGGAUAGUGGAAUUCCAGGUGUAGGAGUGAAAUCCGUAGAUAUCUGGAGGAACAUCAGUGGCGAAGGCGACUAUCUGGCACAUAACUGACGCUGAGGAGCGAAAGCGUGGGUAGCAAACAGGAUUAGAUACCCCAGUAGUC